CCUACGGGAGGCAGCAGUGAGGAAUAUUGGUCAAUGGACGAGAGUCCGAACCAGCCAAGUAGCGUGAAGGAUGACUGCCCUAUGGGUUGUAAACUUCUUUUAUAUGGGAAUAAAAUGUUCCACGUGUGGGAUUUUGUAUGUACCAUAUGAAUAAGGAUCGGCUAACUCCGUGCCAGCAGCCGCGGUACUACGGAGGAUCCGAGCGUUAUCCGGAUUUAUUGGGUUUAAAGGGAGCGUAGGUGGAUUGUUAAGUCAGUUGUGAAAGUUUGGGGCUCAACCGUAAAAUUGCAGUUGAAACUGGCAGGCUGGAGUACAGGAGAGGUGAGCGGAAUUCGUGGUGUAGCGGUGAAAUGCUUAGAUAUCACGAAGAACUCCGAUGGCGAAGGCAGCUAACUGGACUGCAACUGACACUGAGGCUCGAAAGUGUGGGUAUCAAACAGGAUUAGAUACCCGAGUAGUC
rnacentral:rRNA from 1 species